GAAUCCCUCUCUUUCCG
rnacentral:tRNA from 2 species